CAGAUUGAACGCUGGCGGCAGGCCUAACACAUGCAAGUCGAGCGGAUGAAGGGAGCUUGCUCCUGGAUUCAGCGGCGGACGGGUGAGUAAUGCCUAGGAAUCUGCCUGGUAGUGGGGGAUAACGUCCGGAAACGGGCGCUAAUACCGCAUACGUCCUACGGGAGAAAGCAGGGGACCUUCGGGCCUUGCGCUAUCAGAUGAGCCUAGGUCGGAUUAGCUUGUUGGUGAGGUAAUGGCUCACCAAGGCUGCGAUCCGUAACUGGUCUGAGAGGAUGAUCAGUCACACUGGAACUGAGACACGGUCCAGACUCCUACGGGAGGCAGCAGUGGGGAAUAUUGGACAAUGGGCGAAAGCCUGAUCCAGCCAUGCCGCGUGUGUGAAGAAGGUCUUCGGAUUGUAAAGCACUUUAAGUUGGGAGGAAGGGUUGUAGGUUAAUACCCUGCAAUUUUGACGUUACCGACAGAAUAAGCACCGGCUAACUUCGUGCCAGCAGCCGCGGUAAUACGAAGGGUGCAAGCGUUAAUCGGAAUUACUGGGCGUAAAGCGCGCGUAGGUGGUUUGUCAAGUUGGAAGUGAAAGCCCCGGGCUCAACCUGGGAACUGCUUUCAAAACUGGCAAGCUAGAGUAUGGCAGAGGGUGGUGGAAUUUCCUGUGUAGCGGUGAAAUGCGUAGAUAUAGGAAGGAACAUCAGUGGCGAAGGCGACCACCUGGGCCAAUACUGAC
rnacentral:rRNA from 1 species